GAUGAACGCUGGCGGCGUGCCUAAUACAUGCAAGUCGAGCGAACGGACGAGAAGCUUGCUUCUCUGAUGUUAGCGGCGGGCGGGUGAGUAACACGUGGAUAACCUACCUAUAAGACUGGGAUAACUUCGGGAAACCGGAGCUAAUACCGGAUAAUAUUUUGAACCGCAUGGUUCAAAAGUGAAAGACGGUCUUGCUGUCACUUAUAGAUGGAUCCGCGCUGCAUUAGCUAGUUGGUAAGGUAACGGCUUACCAAGGCAACGAUGCAUAGCCGACCUGAGAGGGUGAUCGGUCACACUGGAACUGAGACACGGUCCAGACUCCUACGGGAGGCAGCAGUAGGGAAUCUUCCGCAAUGGGCGAAAGCCUGACGGAGCAACGCCGCGUGAGUGAUGAAGGUCUUCGGAUCGUAAAACUCUGUUAUUAGGGAAGAACAUAUGUGUAAGUAACUGUGCACAUCUUGACGGUACCUAAUCAGAAAGCCACGGCUAACUACGUG
rnacentral:rRNA from 1 species